AGGAAAAAAAAUUAGAAAAGAAGAAUAAAAGAAGAGCUCAUCUUGUUUAGUAAGCUCAAUUUCGGAUAAGAGUACGUGACGUGUCACCAAAUGGUUGGGUAAAAAUUAUAACUGAGAGCAAAUUUUUUUUGCCCGAUUGUGUUGUUUCUCUUCCUCUCUUCAAAUCGGAGGAGACUGAACCUGGAGGAGAUUGAAUUCGGAGAUUGCCCUUUGCAUUUGUUCAGAUAUUUAUUUUUAACCAUCUUCUUCUCUUUCAUAUCCGCCAAAUUGUUCAUCUUUUGAAACUGCCUAAUCCCGUUUGUAGAUUCUGCUUUCAUACCCUUUUUGAUUCCGGUACAAUGUGCCGUAUCCAACUCUAUAUGCUACAGAGUCAGAAAACAAAGAUGCUAAGCUAUUUGCAUUAUACCAAAUAUUUUUCCUGAGGAGAAAACACCCAAACACCAACUAAAAUCAAAUGCAAAGGACAAACCGAUCCCGGAAGAGUUAACAUCUUUCUUUGAAUUCUAAAAAUAGCUGGACUGUUUAUAUAAAGGGAAAAGAAUUUGUCUAUUAUGUGAAUUGACCUUAGUGCCAUGGUAAUAGGUAAGUCGAUUUGUAGAAGGCACCAUCACACUCGGGAUCGAGUCCCGGUUCUUAUAGGAAUUUGACUAAUAGACCGGUCAGUUGUGGCCCAAUGAUUGACAAAAAAAAUUAAAAAAAAAAAUCUGUCUAUUCUAGUAAUUUUAACCGUCCAGGUACAUAUUUUUUUUUGGUAUGUAAUAAAUUGUGUGUUUGCGUAUUAAAAGUUGAGAUAAGUUGUGAAUUAUGAUAUCUACUAUAUUUUAACCCGCGGUACACCGCGGACAUAUAAUUUUAUAUUUAUGUUGUAUCUA